AUGGCGAUGCUCCUCCUCGCCCUUGGCCAAGAACGGCAAUGGCAGCUCCUCCUGGCCCUCCUCACCGUGGUUUUCCUUGUUGUGAUUGCGAGGAACUCGUCCUCGUCCAAGGCCAAGCAAGGGCUCAAGCACAAACUCCCACCGGGCCCGGCGAUGUCGCCAGUCCUGGGCAACCUGCACCAGGUGGGCGGGCUUCCGCACCGGAGCCUGCGGGAGCUAGCUCGGCGGCACGGGCCAGUGAUGCUGCUGUGGCUGGGCACGGUGAGGACGGUGGUGGUGUCUUCGGCGGAGGCUGCGAAGGCGGUGCUGAAGACGCACGACGUAGAUUGCUGCAGCCGGCCGGCGUCCCGAGGACCCAAACGGCUGAGUUACGACCUCAAGAACCUGUUGUUCGCGCCUCAUGGCGUGUACUGGCGCGAGAUGCGGAAGCUCUUCAUGGUGGAGCUCCUCAGCAUGCGCCGCGUCAGGGCUGCCGCGUAUGCACGGGAGCAGCAGGUUGCCAAACUUGUGAGCAACCUGAGCCGCCUGGGCGGCAAACCGGUGGCCUUGAACGAGCACAUCUUUGGCCUCACAGACGGCAUCAUUGGCACGGUAGCGUUCGGCAGCGUAUACGGGGCUGACCAGUUCCCGCACAAGGGGCGCUUCCAGGAGGUGCUGGACGAGGCCAUGGACAUGAUGGCCAGCUUCUCUGCCGAGGACUUCUUCCCCGGCACCGGCGGCCGUCUCGUGGACCGCCUAACAGGCCUCUUGGGCCGCCGCGAGAGGGUCUUCAAGGAGCUGGACGCCUUCUUCGAGCUUAUCAUCGAGCAGCACCUGGACCCGGCACGCCCCAAGCCGGACAACGGCGGGGACCUCGUCGAUGUCCUCAUCGGCCUGUGGAAGGAGCAGCAUAGCACAGUGCGCUUCACCAAGGAUCACGUCAAGGCCAUCAUCCUGGACACGUUUAUUGGCGCCAUAGACACGAGCUCCGUGACGAUGCUGUGGGCAAUGUCCGAGUUGAUACGGAAGCCGCGCGUACUCAGCAAGGUGCAAGACGAGAUCAGGGCAAUGGUGGGCGGCAACCAUUUUUGGAGGGUGGAAGAAGACCACGUCCCCAAUCUCACCUACCUCAAGAUGGUGGUCAAGGAGACUCUGCGGCUGCACCCACCGGCCACCCUGCUUGUGCCGAGGGAGACCAUGAAGCCCCUCGAGAUCGGAGGCUACGACGUGCCUGCCAAGACGCGGAUCCUUGUCAAUGCACGGGCCAUCGGCAGGGACCCCCUGAGCUGGGGCUCCGACUCAGAGGAGUUAAACCCGGACAGGUUCCAUGGCAGUGACAUCGACUUCAACGGCGCCCACUUCCAGCUCCUGCCUUUUGGCGCCGGCCGGAGGAUAUGUCCUGGCCUAGCCAUGGGGGUCAUGAACGUGGAGUUCACGCUUGCCAACCUGCUAUACUGCUUCGAUUGGGCGCUCCCAGAAGGGAUGCCGCCCGAGAAUGUGAGCAUGGAAGAGGCCGGCGCCCUCACUUUCCAUCGGAAGGCGCCGCUGAUUCUCGUGCCCACGCCGCAGGGUGGCUCUUCCGCAAAUAUGCAUAUCACCUCUCUAGCUUCCAAUCAUGUGUUGAAUUAA
rnacentral:rRNA from 1 species